ensembl:miRNA
UGAGGAGUGGAGAGUUCAUUCGGCUGUCCAGAUGUAUCCAAGUACCCAGUUAUUUGGCAAUAAAUACAUCUGGGCAACUGAUUGAACUUUUCGCUUUUCGCGACGCA